ACCGCCCGUCACACCACGAAAGCCCGCUGCAACAGAAAUCGGUGAUCUAACCCGCAAGGAGGAAGCCGCUGAAGUUGUGGUUGGUGAUUGGGGUG
rnacentral:rRNA from 1 species